rnacentral:rRNA from 1 species
AGCGAACGCUGGCGGCAUGCCUAACACAUGCAAGUCGAGCGCUCCCAGCAAUGGGGGAGCGGCGGACGGGUGAGUAACGCGUAGGAACGUAUCCUGAGGUGGGGGAUAACCCUGGGAAACUAGGGCUAAUACCGCAUGAUGGCGAGAGCCCAAAGAUUUAUCGCCUUGGGAGCGGCCUGCGUCUGAUUAGCUUGUUGGUGGGGUAACGGGCCUACCAAGGCGAUGAUCAGUAGCUGGUCUGAGAGGAUGAUCAGCCACACUGGGACUGAGACACGGCCCAGACUCCUACGGGAGGCAGCAGUGGGGAAUAUUGGACAAUGGGCGAAAGCCUGAUCCAGCAAUGCCGCGUGGAUGAAGAAGGUCUUCGGAUUGUAAAGUACCUUUCGGUCGGGGACGGAUGAUGACGGUACCCGCCAGAAGAAGCCCCGG